CUCUGUAUGAUGAUCCGGGUCAAAUAGAAGAGGAUGAAAUAAUUAAUAUGGUUUAAGAAUCUUAAGUAUAUAUCAAUAAUCAAGUCCACCUUGUAUUAUAUCCCAAGCAAUUGGCAAUUAAUUGGUGCUUAUCAUACAAUUUCCCUAAUAUUGUCACUGCACAUUUAUAUAUUUGUCGCUCAAAUAUGAAGGCCAAAGAAAAAUUUCUGACAAAAUGAUUUGGUAUUUAAUUUUCAUAGUAUGAGGUGGAUGUGAUAGGCUCUAUCUUGCUCAAGUUGGAAGUGUAUCUUCAUCGCAAAAAAAGGAUUUAUUUUUCUUGUAUGAAUCCAUCAUUGGAUCAUGCAAUGAUUACUUUAAAAUCUAUGCAGAUAGAUG
rnacentral:lncRNA from 1 species